UGUCUUUAUAAUCCUAUUUGCCCUUUCGGUAUCUGCAAGUUCCCACUCUGAAGAUCCGGUCCACCGCUUUUCCAUGUCUUGCCCGGACAAGCCCCACGUGGUCUGGCUACUAGCCGCUCCGCUGGGUCUAAACUCAAAAGGGUCAAGGAGGCCAUCCCCCUGCGGCCGGCGAGUCCAGGAGCGCGGCCCCCGAGGCCUCCACGGCUCCGCGAGGCGUGUCGGCGGGUCAGGGGCGCGGUGAGAAUUCACUGCAGGGACCGGCUAGUCCUGGGCCCCACCUUCUCAGGGUCGGAUAGGACCCCAUCUUCAAGUCACUGAAGAAACCAAGUCCCCUCCUGACUGAGAGUCAUCUGUGCCCAGCAGCCCUGCGCUGGGAGAAGAACCGCGCCAGUGACCCAGGGUGUGGACGGGAGCUUCUCUGACCUGAAUCCAAACCCGCUCCCUGAUGGGAGGCCGAGGAGUUCAGCUGUGGGCCUCGGUCACCCAGCGAGGGGCCUCAGGUGUCGAUGCAGUGUCUGCUACGUGUCUGACCAGCUCUAAGCACUGGGAACAAAGCCAUGAACAAAACAGAAAAGUCCCUCCUGGAGGAGCAUCCAUCCUAAUUCAGAGACAAAGGCUGACGUCAGUCGGUAAAAGAAACAGUGUGUCAGGGGCUGUUUGGUGCUUUGGUGAGAAAUACAGCAGGGAGGUGACUGAGGGUUGUGGGAUGUGGGUCAGCUCAGUUCAGUUCAGUCGCUCAGUCGUGUCCGACUCUUUGCAAGCCCAAGGACUGCAGCAUG